rnacentral:lncRNA from 1 species
AAUUAUCUAUUUGUGUUUUACCUAAUGAGUUUAGGAAAUUAUGAGUUAUAUAUAAGGAGAUGCUAAUGUGUAGCAUAAUGUGUGAGUUGUGAGCUUAAGUUUUUGAGAGAGUUUUCUUAAGCAUUGUGAGAUUAAUAAACGAGUUCGAGUUUGAGUUCUUUUGUGUUCUUGGGAUCGUGAUUCUAUAUAUACCUCUACUUUAAAAAUAACUGUUUGAAAUGAACAGUUA